AAAAAGACAAACCCUGAAUUUUCGUGUUCAACUUUGACUGUCCGUCUUAUAUGAAAUUUUUUUAUAAUUCGUAUUUUUAUUGUUGUUAGAUGAUAAAACAUGAUUAAUACUUUGUGCGUGACUUAUCUUUUUAAUUUUUUUUAUAAUUUUUUAAAAUAAGACGGACGGUCAAACGUUGGGCACGGAAACCAGGGUUUGUCUUUUU
rnacentral:pre_miRNA from 1 species